rnacentral:misc_RNA from 1 species
AAUUACCAUGGGAGCCGAUCUGUUUUUGGUGUGUAUUGUAAGAGAGAAAGAGAGGGUUGGAGGAAGUUCAUGGAGAUGGGUGGCUGGGCAAGAAGAAAAAAAAGGCUUUGUCUAAUCUCGGGUCAUCGUCUUGCCUACGCCACCCAUUCCAUCCACUUCCUUCAAUUUCUCCCUUUCUCUUUCAGAUCUAUGUAAACACAUGAAUAGAGAGAGGAUAAGAGGGAAAGGGAGAGGGUUGCUGGGAGUUAUGGGUAUGGGGGGAUUGGGCAUGAUUGCUUGCUUUGUUCAAAAGCAUAGACUAGCUAAUUUUUCCCGAGACCUCCCAUACCAGUGAUCUCCAGCUGUUUCCUUCCCUUCCCUAGCUUGUUCUUGGUUUUGUUUUAUCAACUGCUACACCAAGUCUGGUAAGAUCUGUCCUGUCUACUUUGUUUUUUUUGUUAAUUUAUUUUGGUUGUGUUUGAUAUUUUAGCUUGUUUUAGAUUAAUGAAGCCUGGAUCUGUUGAUCAAUGGAUGGAUCUGGGUCUAUAGUGGUUGAAGCACCAACAAAUUUCAGCAUCUGUUAAAAGUAUACUCCUGUGGGUUUUCAGUGCCUUUACUCUGUGAAAUCAACUCUCAGAGGAGUUCUUACUUUUGGCAAGAGUAACUUCGAUGAAAAAUAUGAAGUCUCUUUGGUGGACUUCACAGAGACUGAUGAGCUUGUUCUUAAUCUGGUGUUUUUGGGUUGCUGCUGAAAUCUACAAAAAAAAAAAAAAGAAGUAAUAAUAAUAAAAUAAAAUAAAAUGUAAAAGAAUUAAGAUUAACAAAAGGUCAUCAAUUAAUUAUAUUUUGUUUAAUUUGUCGUAUUUUGUAAUAAAUAAAAUUGUAAUCGGGGAAAGAAGAAAAUCUUACCUGGUUUUUUAAGAUUUGCAAAAC